UGUCUCAUGUGCAGGUGAGAAGAAUGUAUAUGCUGUGGGUGAUGAGUGGGGUAUUCUGUCUGGUCUAUUGGAUGCAAUAGACAUCUUGGACUUGGGUCCCAAGACAGCCUUGAUGAUCUCACAAUUCAAAGAACCAGAGAAGCAAUAGCAAACAAAUUCAAAAGCUAACAGAAGACAAGAAAUAACUAAGAUGAGAGCAAAACUGAAGGAAAUAGAGACAAGAAAAAUCCUUCAAAAAAUCAGUGAAUCCAGGAGCUGAUUUUUUUGAAAAGAUUAACAAAUUAGAUAGACCGCUAGCCAGACUAAUAAAGAAGAAAAAAGAGAAGAAUACCUGACUGAUGGGCUGAUCUGUGUAGCAAACCACCAUGGCACAUGUUUACCUAUGUAAUAUACAAGGUGCAAUAUUUGACAUCAGUAACAUAAUUUUGGGGGGAGUAGUUAAGCAGUACAGCCUUAAGCAUUGAUUUUAAUCUGUUUGGACUUAUUGAAUUUUUUUUUUUUUUUUUUUGAGACUGAUCUUGCUCUGUCCCCUAGCCAUCUCAAGAAAAAUGAAAAAAACACAACAUAACAAAAUAAAUGGGAUGCAGCAAAAGUAGGACAAAGACUGAGAGAAUAAGAGGCGCCCCAACUGGC
rnacentral:lncRNA from 1 species